UGAUGUUCAUGCUUUGUACAUC
rnacentral:piRNA from 1 species